rnacentral:rRNA from 1 species
AACGAACGCUGGCGGCGUGGAUAAGACAUGCAAGUCGAACGGGAACUUCAGCUGUAGCAAUACAGUUGAAGUUUUUAGUGGCGAACGGGUGCGUAACACGUGGGCAAUCUGCCGAGAAGUGGGGGAUAGCUCGCCGAAAGGCGAAUUAAUACCGCAUAUGAUCAGCUAAGACAUCUUAGCGACAUCAAAGCCGGGGCAACCUGGCGCUUUUUUGAGGAGCCCGCGGCCUAUCAGCUAGUUGGUGAGGUAACGGCUCACCAAGGCUAUGACGGGUAGCUGGUCUGAGAGGACGACCAGUCACACUGGAACUGAGACACGGUCCAGACACCUACGGGUGGCAGCAGUCGAGUAAUUUUUCUCAAUGGGGCAACCCUGAAGGAGCGACGCCGCGUGGAGGAU